GACGAACGCUGGCGGCGUGCUUAACACAUGCAAGUCGAACGGAAAGGCCCUGCUUUUGUGGGGUGCUCGAGUGGCGAACGGGUGAGUAACACGUGAGUAACCUGCCCUUGACUUUGGGAUAACUUCAGGAAACUGGGGCUAAUACCGGAUAGGAGCUCCUGCUGCAUGGUGGGGGUUGGAAAGUUUCGGCGGUUGGGGAUGGACUCGCGGCUUAUCAGCUUGUUGGUGGGGUAGUGGCUUACCAAGGCUUUGACGGGUAGCCGGCCUGAGAGGGUGACCGGCCACAUGGGGCCGCAGACACGCCCCCGACUCCGCCGGGGGGAACCGGGGGGGAUUAUUGCCCAGGGGGCGGAGGCCGGAGGCGCCACCCCCGGGGGGGGAAUGCCGCCUUUCGGGUUGAAACCCUCUUGCCCCGGUGACGACGGGGGAGGGCGGGAAGUGGGAAAAGAACCCCCGCCAACCUCCGU
rnacentral:rRNA from 1 species